rnacentral:rRNA from 1 species
GAUGAACGCUAGCGGCAGGCUUAACACAUGCAAGUCGAGGGGCAGCGGGUGUAGCAAUACAUGCCGGCGACCGGCGCAAGGGUGCGUAACGCGUGAGCAAUCUGCCCGUAUCAGGGGGAUAAGCGAUGGAAACGUCGUCUAAUACCGCAUAACACAUUGGAAGGCAUCUUCUGAUGUUGAAAGCUUCGGUGGAUACGGAUGAGCUCGCGAGACAUUAGUUAGUUGGCGGGGUAACGGCCCACCAAGACCGCGAUGUCUACGGGAACUGAUAGGUUGGUCCCCCACACUGGAACUGAGACACGGUCCAUACUCCUACGGGAGGCAGCAGUGAGGAAUAUCGGGACAUGGUCGGAAGACUGAUCCAGCCAUGCCGCGUGAAGGAAUAAGGUCCUAUGGAUUGUACACUUCUUUUGAGAGGGAGCAAUAAGGUGUACGUGUACACCGAUGAGAGUACCUUUCGAAUAAGCAUCGGCUAACUCCGUGCCAGCAGCCGCGGUAAUACGGAGGAUGCGAGCGUUAUCCGGAUUUAUUGGGUUUAAAGGGUGCGUAGGCGGUUUUUUAAGUCAGCGGUGAAACGCAAGGGCUCAACCCUUGACCUGCCGUUGAAACUGGAGGACUUGAAUGCGGAUGCUGUGGGAGGAAUGUGUGGUGUAGCGGUGAAAUGCAUAGAUAUCACACAGAACACCGAUUGCGAAGGCAUCUCACAAAUCCGUGAUUGACGCUGAGGCACGAAAGUGUGGGGAUCAAACGA